rnacentral:lncRNA from 1 species
CAAAUAUAACACAUCAAUCAAUCAUAGGAACAUACAUUGUAAUUUAACAAAACAUGUUCAGCAGAUAUGAUAAACAAUAGAACACGAACAUGUAAUACUGUAACAUGUGUACUGUUAUUAAGCAUUGUGUUGUCAUCAUCAAAAACUAGUUUGAUAUAGAGUCUGUGUUGUCAACAAUCUCAACAAAAAUCACCACACGCACACACCCCAACGAGAACACAAAACACUCAGAGAAAGAAUUUGUAUUUAUUUCUCUACAAACUGUACAAUUUUCCACACCUCCAAGGGAGCCUCAUUCCUCCUCCACAAGAUAACAAAAUCCUGAGUUUACAAAAGAAUUCCAAAACUACUCUACAACAAAACAAUAACUCUCUUAUAUGAGCUCUUUUCUCGCCAUUUUAAUUGUUAUUCCAGUUAGGAUUCAUUAACUCUUCUCUCCCUCUCUCAUAACUCUUCUUUUCCUCUCAUAAACCCUCCAUAUCCUAUCAAACACCAAACCAUCAAGACCCAUCAGAGACCAUCCUUUCUAGAGGGAACCAGCAAAACCUCCUACAUAUGCAAAUCUCACUUUAUAAGU